GAAGUAUCAUUUCAAGAGUAAAUCUGAAAAUAUAUCCUAAGUCAAACCAUCAUGGCAAAGACCAACAACCUCAAAUUCCUCCUCCUCCUUCUCUUGGUGGCACUCCUUGUCACAACUUUCAGUAAGUUCAUCUUCAACUUCUUGAGAAAAAGUAUACUACUUUUUAAAAUAGCGUAUGAGGGUUCUAAUAGGUUUUAUAGUCAGAAGCUCUCAGAAGAGCUGAUGUUUGCACAUGUUCACGCGGUAAGUCAUGUGUGGGGUUAUUGAAACGGAGACCUCACGAUUUUUUAAGGCUCUGAUACCAUGUCAAAAACCGUUACAUUUCAAUAAUUCGAGAGCUUAAAUUGGUUUUAUAGUAUCAUUAAUUAAGAAAAACUUUUUUUUUAACAACGUGCGUUAUUAAAAUGCAAUGUGUGAGCAGCUUCAGGUGCUGGUGAUCCCGAUUCGACGAGCUGCAGUGAUGGAUUAGAGCCUUAUACAGUAAAACCUCAUGAUACAUGCUAUGAUUUGGUUGACGGAGAUGCCGCCAAGCUUGCUGCUCUAACGAAGAACAAUCCUAAUAAGUGCGGCACCUCGUUGCAAGCCGGCGAUACUCUGUGCAUGCCGAAGGGAAACUAAGAAAGAACACAUCAAUGAAUCUGAACCGUACGAUUAAGGAAUAAUUCACUAUCUUAUAUCUUAUGUUAUGUUUGUAAUACAAAAUGCUAUGAAUAAGUAAUGGUUUUUUUUCUUUUACCAUCUGUUUUUGUUGUCGUUGAAAAACUACCGUACUAUCUGUUUUUUUUAUAAAUGAAACUUUUAUUAUAA
rnacentral:lncRNA from 1 species